rnacentral:rRNA from 1 species
GAGUUUGAUCCUGGCUCCAGAUUGAACGCUGGCGGCAUGCCUUACACAUGCAAGUCGAACGGCAGCACGGGAGCUUGCUCCUGGUGGGCGAGUGGCGAACGGGUGAGUAAUGCAUCGGAACGUAUCCUGGAGUGGGGGAUAACGUAGCGAAAGUUACGCUAAUACCGCAUAUUCUGUGAGCAGGAAAGCGGGGGACCUUCGGGCCUCGCGCUCUUGGAGCGGCCGAUGUCGGAUUAGCUAGUUGGUGAGGUAAAGGCUCACCAAGGCGACGAUCCGUAGCAGGUCUGAGAGGAUGAUCUGCCACACUGGAACUGAGACACGGUCCAGACUCCCUACGGGAGGCAGCAGUGGGGAAUUUUGGACAAUGGGGGCAACCCUGAUCCAGCCAUGCCGCGUGAGUGAAGAAGGCCUCGGUU